UUUAAGAGGUGGCUCAAAGACAGAUUGACUGGUUCAAUAUCUCGAAUCUCGAUUUUCCAUAUUGGAUUAAGAAAGUUACACAGAACCGUGGGCGCUAUAGGCUACAUAACAUACACUUCAUAGAAGUUUUCGAACCAAACUCUUCUUCAAAUCAGAAUCAAAAUGUGCCAUUUAACUCGGCAAAGUGGUGCUUCGAAAUGUGUUCUCACUUUUCUAUUCUGAAGUUGUACUUGGAGAUAAAUUGAAAAAUUACCUUUCAUUCUGAAUUCACAAACCAUUACUGUUCGAAAAGUUAAUUACAUGUGUGAGGUUCUGACGAAAUGGGCAUAUUCUGAAACCAGGUGAAAAAACUAUGCAGAUUAACGCUUGAACAGUUUUUAUGAAUGAACAGCAGAAAAACUUUACUUUGGUAAUCACUCGAUUUUUCUGUACAGAUAUUAUUGAAAGCUAAGAGUUGAAAAUGAAAAAGUCGACUCAAGGCGUAAUCUUUCUUCUGAUCAAUGCAUUUUCGAUUUCGAGUGCCAGUCUGCUAUUUGUUACAUCCGGCAGAGAACCCGCACAGAUCAUUACAUGGGUAGGACUAUUCGGAGCUCCACUUAGCCUCACGUUGCUUUCGACCGAAAAAUCCUUCAAUCCCGUCAAGUUAUGUAAAAUGAAACAGUUUUAUUUAAGUAUUCUCAGCGCUUCGUUAUUUGGAAGUAUUGCGAUUGGAUUUCAUUUUUGGUCUCUGGAGUUUAUUUUGCCCUCUGAUAAUAAUAUGGUCGGAGUUUUCUUCUCACUUUUUACCUCAGUCAUUUUGCAGUCGUUCGAAGACCGAAAACGGCCCACGCUUUUAACAAUUGUUUCCGUCUUUUUCGGAUUUAUCGGGACCGUCGUAAUAUGCGACCCGAGAACACUUUUCACCGACAGAAUCCUCGAUUUCCGAACGAUUAAAGGAGUCACGAUUUGCGCAAUCAGUGGAACAUGUUUUGCUUGUUUGUAUUCAAAUAUCCGACGUUUCCCAAAAAUGCCACCUGAGUGGACUUGUUUAUGGCUCAUGGUCGGCAAUAUUUCGUUCGGCAUGAUUUCAUACCGCCCCCUUGCGGCUGAUUACCAGACAUGCUCAAAACUAGCCAUGAUUCUAUCAGCAGGCUCUUCAAUACUGCAAGCACUCGCAUCUAUAUUUGGCUUAAAAGGAACAAUGCAUACGACAGUUACUGCGCUUUCGGUCAUACAACUCUUGGCUCCAGUUUUCAGCUUCUUCGUCCAGAUAUUCAUUCUACCAGAAGGAGUCUCAUGGACUUCGGCGGUCGGAAUUAUUUUUGUCGUUUUAGCUGUUCUGACCCAACUGAAGGUUUUACGCAGAAGAGAAGAAAUUAUGAUCAAAGAGAAACUAAGUUUUGAGUUACAACAAAUUAAUUCUCGGAAUUGAAAAGGAUCAAGCUGUUUGCUACCAAAUUUGUAAAUUUAUAAUAGUCUCAUAGUACAAUUAUCUAUAAAUUGAUAAAUUGAAC